UGCGGAAGGAUCAUUACCGAGUGAGGGCCCUCUGGGUCCAACCUCCCACCCGUGUUUAUUUACCUUGUUGCUUCGGCGAGCCUGCCUUUUGGCUGCCGGGGGACGUCAGUCCCCGGGUCCGUGCUCGCCGGAGACACCUUAGAACUCUGUCUGAAGAUUGUAGUCUGAGAUUAAAUAUAAAUUAUUUAAAACUUUCAACAACGGAUCUCUUGGUUCCGGCAUCGAUGAAGAACGCAGCGAAAUGCGAUACGUAAUGUGAAUUGCAGAAUUCAGUGAAUCAUCGAGUCUUUGAACGCACAUUGCGCCCUCUGGUAUUCCGGAGGGCAUGCCUGUCCGAGCGUCAUUGCUGCCCUCAAGCACGGCUUGUGUGUUGGGCCCCGUCCUCCUUCCGGGGGACGGGUCCGAAAGGCAGCGGCGGCACCGCGUCCGGUCCUCAAGCGUAUGGGGCUUUGUCACUCGCUUUGUAGGCCUGGCCGGCGCUUGCCGAUCAACCAAACUUUUUUAUCAGGUUGACCUCGGAUCAGGUAGGGAUACCCGCUGAACUUAAGCAUAUCAUAAGGUCGGAGAAAGAUCAUUACCGAGUGAGGGCCCUCUGGGUCCACCUCCCCCCGUGUUUAUUUACCUUGUUGCUUC
rnacentral:rRNA from 1 species